GGGGGUGAAUAGGGCUCGACUUAAGCUAGUCGGGUAAAAGUAGCAUGCCGCGGAUGCAAAGUCGGCCGCGUUACCAAUCUUUGCACAAUAUAAACGCAAAAGAACAGUUGACGUUUAACGGACUGAUGAGCAAUAUGCAAGUGGUUCCAUCCACUUUCGUUGCGCCUCAGUUCGCGCUAAGCCCCAUUCGCUAGACCGAAUGGGCCUCUAUUCAUCUUGCCUACGUGAUGAAAUAGAGCGCGAGUAGGCUGGUUUUGCGCCAAGCCUUGAGGCGUAAGACGAGACGUUAAAAGGCUGCGGCUUGAACAAUUUUGCUCCAUAAGAUUGUCAGGCUAAGUUUAAAAUAUGGGGCUAAGCAUGUAGUGGCUUUUAUCUGAGUACUUAGGGACGGCGGUUCAAUUCCGCCCACCUCCACUU
rnacentral:tmRNA from 1 species